rnacentral:rRNA from 1 species
UCGGAAUUACUGGGCGUAAAGCGCAUGCAGGCGGUUUGUUAAGUCAGAUGUGAAAGCCCGGGGCUCAACCUCGGAACCGCAUUUGAAACUGGCAGGCUAGAGUCUUGUAGAGGGGGGUAGAAUUUCAGGUGUAGCGGUGAAAUGCGUAGAGAUCUGAAGGAAUACCAGUGGCGAAGGCGGCCCCCUGGACAAAGACUGACGCUCAGAUGCGAAAGCGUGGGUAGCAAACAGGAUUAGAUACCCUGGUAGUCCACGCCGUAAACGCUGUCUACUUGGAGGUUGAGGUUUAGACUUUGGCUUUCGGCGCUAACGCAUUAAGUAGACCGCCUGGGGAGUACGGCCGCAAGGUUAAAACUCAAAUGAAUUGACGGGGGCCCGCACAAGCGGUGGAGCAUGUGGUUUAAUUCGAUGCAACGCGAAGAACCUUACCUACUCUUGACAUCCAGCGAAGCCUUUAGAGAUAGAGGCGUGCCUUCGGGAGCGCUGAGACAGGUGCUGCAUGGCUGUCGUCAGCUCGUGUUGUGAAAUGUUGGGUUAAGUCCCGCAACGAGCGCAACCCUUAUCCUUGUUUGCCAGCACGUAAUGGUGGGAACUCCAGGGAGACUGCCGGUGAUAAACCGGAGGAAGGUGGGGACGACGUCAAGUCAUCAUGGCCCUUACGAGUAGGGCUACACACGUGCUACAAUGGCAGAUACAGAGGGCAGCGAAGCUGCGAAGUGGAGCGAAUCCCUUAAAGUCUGUCGUAGUCCGGAUUGGAGUCUGCAACUCGACUCCAUGAAGUCGGAAUCGCUAGUAAUCGUGGAUCAGAAUGCCACGGUGAAUACGUUCCCGGGCCUUGUACACACCGCCCGU